GACGAACGCUGGCGGCGUGCCUAAUACAUGCAAGUCGAACGCAGUGGGGACGGGUGAGUAACACGUGGGUAACCUCCCCAUCAAAGAGGAUAACACUUGGAAACAGGUGCUAGACCAAUACUGAUGGAUGGACCCGCGGUGCAUUAGCUAGGUGUGGAGGGAACGGCUCACCAAUGCCACGAUGCAUCGGCGACCUGAGAGCGGGAUAGGCCACACUGGGACUGAGACACGGCCCAGAGUCCUACGGGAGGCAGCAGUAGGGAAUCUUCGGCAAUGGACGAAAGGCUGACCGCGAAACGCCGAGUGAGUGAAGAAGGGUUUCGGAGCGUAAAACUCUGUUGUUAGAGAAGCGGUAUCGAACCAGAAAGCCACGGCUAACUACGGGCCAGCAGCCGCGGUAAUAC
rnacentral:rRNA from 1 species